CCAGCCUGUUGGCCUCUCCCCCGGCCUGACCUGAGAGUUCUUGGAGUUUCACGACGUUUAUUUUCUACAGGUUUGCGAUGUUUGUUGAAAGGUUCCUUUGGAUUUUCUGUGUGAUAUCAACUGUGAGUAGUGAUAAUUCUGCCAAUUCUUAUAGUUCAUAUAAACAUUUUUCUUGCCUAAUCUCAUUGGCUCUACCAGUACAAUAUUGUAUACACAGGGUGAAAGUGGGCAUCAUUUUUUGUUUUGUUCACAAGCAAAGAGAAUGUAUAUGUGUAGAUAUUACAUUGUGAAAGUUUCCUUUCAUACCUAUUGCUAAUUUUUUUAAAUAGCAUGGAUGUAUGCUCAAUUUUGACUGUUUCCUUUGAGAUGACCAUAUAGUGUUUGCUUUUAGUUUGUUAAUUACAUUGGCUAGUUUUUCUCAGGGUAAACUAAUCUUGCAUUUCUGCAAUAUAAUGAUCAGUUUUAUUAAUAAUAUUGUUGGAUUUAUUCAUAUUUUGUCUUGAAUUAUGACAUUAUGAUUGAGCCUAGUUUGUAAUUUUCUUUUCUCAUACUGUCUUGGUCAGCUUUUGGUGAUCAAGUUUAUUAGCCUCAAAAAUGAGUUUGGGAAUAUUACUUCUUUUCUUCUACCUUUUGAAUAAUUUCUGUAAGAUUGGAGUUAUUUCUUCAUCAUCUGUGUCUGGAGUUUUGUGUGUAUGUAUGUGGAAUUUGUAACUAAGUUUUAAAAAACAUGGUGGCAAUACUAUUAAGAUUUUUCUAUAUUUUAGUCAUUUUAGGUUAUAUUUUUCUAAGAAUUUAUCCAUUUUAUCCGUUUUCAAAUUUAUUGUCAAAGUUGUUCAUAAUGUGUCUAGCAUGUUUUUAUGUCCCCCUUUUAUUCCAAACAUUUUUUUUUUUUUUGCUCAUUCAACUGUUCCCUUCCUUUCUCUUCCUCAUCAGUAAUGCCAAAAAUGUCAAUUUUUAGUUUCUCAAAGAAACAUCCUCAGCUUUCUUUGUCCUCUUUAUAGUAGUCCUCCCUUAAAUAUAUAGUUUUGCUUUCCAUGGUUCCAGUUACUCACUGUCAUUCAUGGUCUGAAAAUAUUAAAUGGAAAAUUCCAUAAAUAAAUAAUUGAUAAUAUGGUUUUAGAAAAAUUUUAUUACAGUAUAUUGUCAUAAUUGUCCAAUUUUAAUAUUAAUCAUUAUUAAUCUCUUACUGUGUCCAAUUUAUAAAUUAAACUUCAUGAUAGGUAUGUAUGUUUGGGAAACAACAGACUAUAUAUAGGCUUUAGUACCAUCUGUGGCACCCCUUAUGGGUCUUGGAACAUAUCCCCUUUGGUAAGAGGAACUACUGUAUUAUGUUUUCUAUUUUAUUAAUAUCUGAAUUUAUCUUUAUUUCAUUUAUCCUUAUGUUCAUUUUCUUAUUCAAAUUGGGUAUUUAGUUGAUUAUUUUUAGCCUGGUUUAUAAGUUUUUUAAUGCUCUUUAUUUCUCUCUAAAUACUUCUUUACUUGUAUCCAGUAGGUUUUGAUAUAUAGUAUUUUAACAGUAUUUUAUGGUUUUUAUUAUUUUAUUCAUUGGCAUAUGUAUUAUUUAAAAGUACAUUUAUUAAUGUUCUAAUAUUGUUUUUCUCCUUGUUACUGAUUUUGAACUGACUUUGUUGCUGUGUAAGAAUAUGUUAUGUAACAGUUCUUUGAAACUUGCUGAGAUUUUAUGAAUGGCCUCAAAUAUGAGAUUAAUGUUCAGAUGUUUCACUUGCAUUUCAAAAAUAUAUGUUCUGCAAUUACCUAUAAUGCCCUAUAUAUCUCUAUUACAUAAAUUUAUUAAUUGUGUUGCUUGAAACCUUACUGAUAUUUUUUGUUUGAACUCAUUACUAGAAGAGAUAUAUUAAAAUUUUUCAUUAUGAUUAUGGACUUAUAAUUGUGUCCAUUUUACUUUUUUAGUAUAUGUGCUGCUGAAGCGAGCACCAUUUUACCUUGUAUAUUUUGGGAUGUUAUUAGAUGCAUAAGAGUAUUAGAACUUUAUAAAUUUUACUUUUUAUUAUUAUAUAGUGACUUUUAAAAAUUUCUAACAGUUGACAUCCAGGAUUAUUUUUUGCCUUAAAAGUCCAUUUUGUUUGUAUAUUUAUGUUAUAGGUGCAUUUUUGUUAAUAGCAUAUAGCUUUUAUUCCAGAUUCUUAUUUUGUUUUAACCUAAAGCAUUUGUUACUGAAAUUUUAUGUAAUUUAUUUUUUUCCCCGGGGAUUGAGCUCAGGACUUUGCGCUUGGGAGGCAGGUACAAUGCCACUGAGCUAAAUCUUCGGCCCUAUGUAAUUACUGAUGUAUUGAUUAUUGCUUUAUCUAUUAUUGCCUUAUUAUUAGUUUUUAUCCCACUGUAUCUUCAUUCCCUCUGACUUCCUUUCCUGUCUUCUUUGAGAUUGAGAUUUUUCUACCCUUAAUUCAAUGUUUCCUUUACUCUUCUGGAAAUUUAGUAUUCUGGUUCCUUUAAUGAUUACAAGUUUUACAUAAUAUUUAAUUCAUUAAAGUCUAACUCCACAGGAUACUACUGAUACUGUUUUGAAAAACUUUGCUAAUCCUUGUUUUGCUUUUGCUCCUAGAAAAUAUUUCAACUGGAAAUACUAAAAUUGUCUCCUCUGCUUUGGAGAUACCCAUUUCUGUGUCUUCUGACUUCCUUCAGAGGUCAAUUCUCAGUUUAACUGAUGCUCUUUGACAAUAAACUUUGUCUUCCCUCUCCA